rnacentral:rRNA from 1 species
CGACCUGAGCUCAGGCAAGAUUACCCGCUGAACUUAAGCAUAUCAAUAAGCGGUGGAAAAGAAACUAACAAGGAUUGCCCUAGUAACGGCGAGCGAACCGGCAAUAGCCCAACUUGUAAAUCUCCCUUUGGAGAAUUGUAGUCUAUAGAAGUAUCCUCUGCAACGGGCGGAACUCAAGUCUCCUGGAAAGGGGCGUCAGAGAGGGUGAGAACCCCGUCGG